UUGAGUGGGUUACCAGUGGCCAGUGAUGUAAUCAGUCACGCCUAUGAAAUGAAGCCUCCAUCAAAACCCAAAAGGACUGGGUCCAGGGAGCUUCUAGGUUACUGAACAUGUGAAGGUGCCUGGAGGGUGGUGCUCCUGGAAGGCGGGGAAGCUCUGUGCUCCCUCACUCCCACGUCCCUUGCCCUGUUGACUUCUUCACCUGGCUGUUCAUCUGUCCUGUAGUACAGAUCCCAGGGACAGCGCCUAGGACUGAGGUGCUCCAAGGAGGACAGAGGCAAAGGCAUGGCAUUCUGCUGAGAAAAGACU
rnacentral:lncRNA from 1 species